rnacentral:rRNA from 1 species
UACGUAGGGUGCGAGCGUUAAUCGGAAUUACUGGGCGUAAAGCGUGCGCAGGCGGUUUUGUAAGCCGGAUGUGAAAUCCCCGGGCUUAACCUGGGAAUGGCAUUCGGGACUGCAAGGCUGGAGUGCGGCAGAGGAGACUGGAAUUCCUGGUGUAGCAGUGAAAUGCGUAGAUAUCAGGAGGAACAGCCGGUGGCGAAGGCGGGUCUCUGGGCCGAUACUGACGCUGAGGAGCGAAAGCGUGGGGAGCGAACAGG